UACGGAGGGUGCAAGCGUUAUCCGGAUUCACUGGGUUUAAAGGGUGCGCAGGUGGGUAGGUAAGUCAGUGGUGAAAUCUUCGAGCUUAACUCGGAAACUGCCAUUGAUACUAUUUAUCUUGAAUACUCUGGAGGUAGGCGGAAUAUGUCACGUAGCGGUGAAAUGCUUAGAUAUGACAUAGAACACCAAUUGCGAAGGCAGCUUACUACAUAGUUAUUGACACUGAGGCACGAAAGCGUGGGGAUCAAACAGG
rnacentral:rRNA from 1 species